GAUUAUGGCCAUUUCACGCUGAGAGCACCGGUUCUCGUCCGAUCACCGAAUUUAAGAAAUGUCGAGCCUAGUUAGUACUCAGAUGGGUGACCGCUUGGGAAAAAUAGGUGCUGUAAAGA
rnacentral:rRNA from 1 species